CCCUCUUCCUGUAGUCUGUCAACAUCUGUUCCUCUCAGCCCAUUUGCAAACCCACAUGAUAAUUGCAAUAAUUCAAUAAUAUUUUAAAUAUACUUUUUGCAAUUACAAGCAGUUCCUGCCAGUUAGGCCUGUAUAGACCCAACCUAAUCUGGAAUACCCAGAACAAAAUCUUGCAUGAACAUAACUCUCAUAACCUCUGUGCUCCCGACAGACGUAACAUGUUCGUUACAGAUCUUAGGACAGAUAUGCCCACCCAGAUCAGUCUUAUCUACACCUGCAAUUGGAGCACAUUACAAACCUAUGACAGCUAUAGGUAUGAUAGUGAAUAUGAAAAUUAUGCACCAUCACAGAAGGGUCAUAGUUGGGAGCUAUUGUUUCACCAUAAAAGGAGAGAGGGGAAACACAAAAUACAGUGUGUCACUCUCACACUCACUACUGUGGCAUUGCCUGAGUCAUUAUCUACAGCCAACAGCUCCUCUGUAUAUUUCUAAAAGCAUUUUCGAGAGCAUGUGAAGAUAGUCGCCCCCGAAAGCAUUUCUCAUUUCCAUAUAUCCUGUUUCAGUUCUCUCUCUGUAUUAUACAUAAUAACAGGUGGCAGGUUUAAAAAACUCUUAAUCGUGAUCCAAUGAAUGUGCCGCUGGUGCCUUAUGUGGACAAUGAGAAACAGACAAACACUUGGAUUACCCAGAAGAAGCACCAGAUCUCAGUAAGCCUGAAGUUUGUGACCCUGACUGAAGUGGUUGAGCUGAGCAGUGAGUCCUCUGCCCUUGUAGAGGGUCAGCAGUGUUUGUUCUAUGUGGAUUCUAAACUCAAGGAGCUUGGUCGAUCAAAUGCCAGCCACAGCCAAUGCUCCCUCCAAGUAAAGGGGUCAGAGCUGCCUGGGUGGAAGCCCAGAGGGCUGUGGUCAAAAGUCACCGUCCAGUGUCAUUAUGAAGAAGAGAAGAAGAAAAGACAAUACCAUGACAUAAUUAUGUUUCUAUGUAGCUGCCUCACACUUUUCCUCCACUUUGCCACCAUAGUGCUUUUUUGGUUUUCUGUGCAUAAACAGUACAGUGGGCUGGCACACAACAUAUAAGCCUGUUAUAAAUGAAUAACAGUUGGAAUUGUGGCUUAUUGAAAGGAUUUUAUGAUUUUAUGUUUCCUUUCAAAUAGUCAUUUGUCCUCAUCCCUUUGUUACAAUAACAGGAAGGUGAAGAUGAUUUGUGCUAUGUCACCGUGUCCCAUGCUGGUGCUUCUCCAUCCUACUCAGUCAAGUUUGAACAAGGCCAUGACUAUGCCACAGUGGUCAUAUACUGACUGGCAUUGCCAAACUGAAUGGACAUGAAAGGACUUCCACAUGGAUAGAUUGAUUUUAACACCUACAUUUCAAUUUUCUUUCCAAGAAAUCAAUUGCAUAAAUCAAUUUGCAAUGUAGUUUUGAUUAUCCAAUUUGUCACAUUAAGAGAACAAGUUUUUGUAUUCCACCAUCGGCUUAAUUUCUGUUUGUCUCGUGUGCACCUGUCAGUCCCAGUCGCGGGAAACAGUAACAUAGCGCGUGCUACUUUUCGCUGACCAGAUACUCAUCUUUGCUUACCUGCUGAAAGCUUCUAAAGGUAAGCCAUUUACUUAAAGUAAUAAUGACUUCUUAGGCUACUCUCUCGUUUCUCAAUUAAAUUGAAAUCACAUGUUAAGUCAGAUGCUUUCAUAAAUUCAACGAGGGUUAAUGUCUACUCCGAAUGUGCACGGUCUGUGUGUAUAUUGGCAAGUUUUCUAACCAUUUUCUCACGGUGUGGUGGUUACAAACUACUCUACUAGGCAAUAGCAAUACAAGACACGUUUAUACCACUAAAUGGCAAUGUUAAAUCCUGUUUUGCAACAAUUUUAAGAGCUCCUUGUCGGCAGGGAUAACAUUUUUUGGACAUUUCUGUUAUUGGAAUAGGCUAUCAUCAAAAUAAGUCAAUCGUACAAUACCAUUGGAAAUGAAUGUUGAAAGUUACAUUUAUGUUUCUAAAAUAUUAAUUGAAAAUGUAUUGUCGCUGCUUCCUGUUGACAAGCCAUUUUGAUACAUAGCCCAACGUCAAAACACAGUCUAGAGAUUAGAUUAGACAUUAGAGAUUAGAGAGUUUAAUAGUCACAUAAUGCACAUGGUUGCAGAUGUAAUUACAGGACACGAGCUCCAACAACGCAGUACAAAGUGAAGUAAAAUAAUACAAAUAGAUAUAAAUACAAUGAUAAAUGUCCAUUGAGGGUGGGGGCAGGGUUAACGUCCAUUAGAGGGGAUGGGAAAUGUCCAAAGGAGGAGCAGCAGGGUGAGUAGUCGACUAGUCGUGACUAUUCAGCAUAAUACAUGUCUAUUGGGGUGAGGGCAGGGUAGAAAUGUCCUUUGAGGUGGUGGGUAGAAGCCUGAUGGUCUGGGGGUAGAAGCUAUUUAUCCAGUCUUACAGUUUUUACCAUGGUGCUCCUAUUCUGCCUGCGUCUGAGUGAUAGAAACGGGAAGAACAGGCCAUGGCUCGGGUGGCUGGGGUCCCUGAGGAACGUCUUGGCCUCCCUGCGACACCUGGUGUCCAAAUCAAUGAGCAAUAUGCAGAAACUUUGUUAUAUAUUCAGGCCAGGAUGUGACAUGGGUUAUUGUGGUGUGUUUUUGUCUUGGGGUUUUGUGGGGUGUCUAGCGUUAGUCUAUGGCUGCCUGAGGCGGUUCUCAAUCAGAGUCAGGUGAUUAUCAUUGUCUCUGUUUGGGAACCAUAUUUAGGCAGCCAUAUUCUUUGAGUGUUUCGUGGGUGAUUGUUCCUGUCUCUGUGUUUGCACCAGAUAGGGCUGUUUUCGUUUUUUUGUACGUUUGUUAUUUUGUUAGUUUAUCGUGUUUAGUUUCCGUAUUAAAUAAAAUGAAUCACAACUA